CAGAUGAUACAAAAACUGAUAAAGAUCCAGAAAAAGCCAUAACUGAUAAAGAUCCAGAUGUUACAAAAACGGACAAAGAUUCAGAUAAAACCAAAACUGAUAAAGAUUCAGAAACUACGAUCACUGAUAAAGAUGAAGCCAUUAAAAAGUUGCGCGAAUGUGAAAAACAGUUGGAAGAAAAUAAAACCGAAUUAACUGAAGCGAAACAAAAUUUAAAAUUUAAAG